GGCGGGCGCGGCUUCUCCGGGCAGCCGGACGAUAAUCUCACCAGGGGGCAGUUCGCCCGGCUUGGCGCUGACGGUUGGCCCCGCGCCGUCGCGCGCCCUCGUGCCAUAGACGAAGGGUUCCGNNNNNNNNNNNGAUCACGAGUUCGAGCGCCAGCCCUCCCUGCGCCGGACCGGCCAUUGCGAAGUCUUCCGGGCGCACGCCCAGGAUGGCGUCGCCGGGCACCUUGAUCUGC
rnacentral:misc_RNA from 1 species